UUGGGUUUAGCGACUGUUUAACAAAAACACAGCACUCUGCCAAGUCGUGAAGACGACGUAUAGGGUGUGACACGUGACCAAUGCGGAAAGAUCAAGGUGAGUUGUUAGCUCGCAAGAGCGAAGCUCCGAGCCUAAGUCCCCGUGAAUGUCGGCCGUAACUAUAACGGUCCUAAGGUAGCGAAAUUCCUUGUCGGGUAAGUUCCGACCUGCACGAAUCGUGUAACGACUGAACCGCUGUCUCGGAGAGGAUCUCGGCGAAAUUGUAACUGCGGUGAAGAUGCCGCAUGCCCGCAGUAGGACGGAAAGACCCUAUGCACCUUUACUGUAAGCUGAUAUUGUGUUCUGGUUCAUGAUGCGUAGCG
rnacentral:rRNA from 1 species